UCCAUCAUAGUUUAGGUGUUUAGGAUACUUGGCUCUCACCCCAGAGACCAGUUUCGAGUCUCGGCGACGGAA
rnacentral:tRNA from 1 species